rnacentral:rRNA from 1 species
ACUUUUAACGACGGAUCUCUUGGUUCUAGUAACGAUGAAGAACGCAGCGAAAUACGAUAAGUAAUAUAAAUUAUAGAAUUUAGUAAAUUAUCGAAUCUUUGAACGUAUAUUACGCCCCCUAGUAUUCUAGGGGGUAUAUCUAUUCGAGCGCUAUUUCUACCCUAGAGCCCUACUCUAUAAUAGGCCCCGUCCUCGCGGACGGGCCCGAAACCCGUAGGCGCCGUCGUCCGGCCCUAAGUGUAGUAAGAGAAAUCCCUCGCUCGGAGUAUCUAUCGGCCGGCCGCCCCGAAACCUAUAUUUACAAGGUUAGCCUCGGAUUAGGUAGGGAUACCCGCUAAACUUAAGUAUAUUAAUAAGCGGAGGAAAAGAAACUAAUAGGGAUUAUCUUAGUAACGGCGAGUAAAGCGGUAAUAGCUUAAAUUUAAAAUCUAGCGCAAGCCCGAGUUGUAAUUUAUAGAGGAUAUUUCGGGUAAAGCUACGGUCUAAGUCCCUUAGAAUAGGACGUUAUAGAGGGUAAGAACCCCGUACCUAGCCGUUGGUACCCCCCGCUAUAAAACUCCUUCGACGAGUCGAGUUGUUUGGGAAUAUAGCUCUAAAUUAGUAGUAAAUUCUAUCUAAAGCUAAAUACCGGCUAGAGACCGAUAGCGUAUAAGUAGAGUAAUCGAAAGAUAAAAAGUACUUUAAAAAGAGAGUUAAAAAGUACGUAAAAUUAUUAAAAGGGAAGCGCUUGCGGCUAGACUUACCCGCGGUUACUUAGCCUACCUUUUAGCGGGUAUACUCUUCCGCGGUUAGGCUAGUAUUAGUUUGGACGGCCGGAUAAAGGCGUCGGGAACGUAGCCUCCCCUCGGGGAGGUAUUAUAGCCUAGCGCGUAAUACGGCCAGCCCGGACUGAGGUUCGCGCUUUGCUAGGAUACUAGCGUAAUAGCCGUAAGCGGCCCGUCUUGAAAUACGGACCAAGGAGUCUAAUAUCUAUACGAGUAUUUAGGUGUCAAACCCGUGCGCGUAAUAAAAGUAAAUAGAGGUAGGAACCGUAAGGUAUACUAUUAACCAAUCCUAAUAUCUUCGGAAGGAUUUGAGUAAGAGUAUAGCUAUUAGGACCCGAAAGAUAGUAAACUAUACGUAAAUAGGGUAAAGCUAGAGGAAACUCUAGUAGAGGCUCGUAGCGGUUCUAACGUGCAAAUCGAUCGUUAAAUUUACGUAUAGGGGCGAAAGACUAAUCGAACUAUUUAUAAAUAGUAAUACUAGAUAGUUAAAGGGCGGAGAGCCUUAGUCCCUACGGGGGCUAUACUACCAAACUACGGGGAACGCCUAUAGCCGGACGUAACCGCCCCCCCGCCGCGAGGUAGGAGGGGCACCCCGUUUACUCGGGGGUAUAGUAAUAGCGUACCCGGCGGGUCGAUCCGUAGCCGUCCCCCAAUCCGUCGGGGGGUAGUUUAUAGACUAGACGGUAGUAGGCGCGGCGAGCGCUUAAGAUAUAGUCGAUCUAGCCCCUUAAGGGGCCGAGAGUAGUAGCUAGUUCCUACCGAAGUUUCCCUUAGGAUAGUAGUAACGUUUUUAGUUUUAUAAGGUAAAGCGAAUAAUUAGAGGCCUAGGGGUUGAAACUAACCUUUACCUAUUCUCAAACUUUAAAUAUAUAAGAAGUCCUUGUUACUUAGUUAAAUAUAGACAUUUGAAUACACCGUUACUAGUAGGCUAUUUUUGGUAAGUAGAACUAGCGAUACGGGAUAAACCGAACGGGGGGUUAAGAUACCGGAAUAUACGCUUAUUAGAUACUAUAAAAGGUAUUAGUUUAUCUAGAUAGUAGGACGGUAGCUAUGGAAGUCGGAAUCCGCUAAGGAGUAUAUAAUAACUUACCUACUAAAUAAACUAGCCCUGAAAAUAGAUAGCGCUUAAGCGUACUACCUAUACCCCCCCUCCGCGGUAGGCUUUAUACCGCGGAGAGUAGGUAGGCGUAAAGGCCCGUAACGAAGCCUAGGGGGUAACCUCGGGUCGAACGGCCUCUAGUAUAGAUCUUGGUAGUAGUAGUAAAUACUUAAAUAAGAACUUUAAGGACUGAAGUAGGGAAAGGUUCUAUAUAAAUAGUAGUUAGAUACGGGUUAGCCGACCCUAAGUACUAGGGUAGUUCUAACUCAACGUACGCGCUUACGCGCCGUAGUACGAAAGGGGAGCCGGUUAAUAUUCUAGCGCCUAGAUAUAGAUUCUCCGCGGCAACGUAACUAAAGGCGGAGACGACGGCGGGGGCCCUAGAAAGAGUUCUCUUUUCUUCUUAACGGUCCGUUACUCUAAAAUCGGUUUGUCCGGAGCUAGGGUUUAACGACCGGUAGAGCCCCUUACCUUUAAGGGGUCUAGUACGCCCCCGACGUCCCUUAAAAAUCUACUAGAAGGAAUAGCUUUUACGCUAGGUCGUACUUAUAACCGUAGUAGGUCUCCAAGGUGAACAGCCUCUAGUUAAUAGAAUAAUAUAGAUAAGGGAAGUUAGUAAAAUAGAUCCGUAACUUCGGGAAAAGGAUUGGCUCUAAGGGUCGGGUACGUUAGGCCUUAGGGGGACGCUCCCGGAGUAGAUUAGUACUAGGCUUACGCCUAGCGCCUCCUAGUACUAUAGGGUCGACGCCCUUAGUAGGCUUCGGCCGUCCGGCGUACGCUUAACGACUAACUUAGAACUAGUACGGAUAAGGGGAAUCUAACUAUCUAAUUAAAAUAUAGUAUUGCGAUGGCUAGAAAGUAGUAUUAACGUAAUAUAAUUUCUACCUAGUACUCUAAAUAUUAAAGUAAAGUAAUUCAACUAAGCGCGGGUAAAUGGCGGGAGUAACUAUAACUCGAGUAACCUCGAGAGGGUUAUAAGAGCGGCCGCGGGCCGCUAGCGGAGGGGGUCCGCCCCCCGAGCGAUACUAUUAAAUUGCGGGGACCUCUAGAUACCUACGCUACUAACCCGGGGCCCGAAAGGGCGCCGGGGGCCGGGACCCAACGGUUCCCGGGUACGGUAAUAGCGCGUAGGCCCUAGACGAUCCGUAGCCAAACCCGCCGCCCCCUCGGGGGCGUAGGUAUAGUUCAACGACUAAAUAGUAGUAGGGUCCCCCCGGGGGCCCUAAGAUAUAGUCUACCGGAGAGCCUAACGGCCUCCGCUCGGAGAGAGCUCUUAAGGUAGCUAAAUACCUCGUUAUCUAAUUAGUAACGCGUAUAAAUAGAUUAA